rnacentral:lncRNA from 1 species
CGACUCCAAUUAAGCUUAAGACAGAUUGGGACGACUGCAGGCCCUGCUGCUGGAAGCGUGUGAGUGUGUGUGUGUGUGACUGUGUGUGUGCGCGCGUGUGUAUGUUUGUGUGUGAGUGUGACUGUGUGUGCGCGCGCACGUGCAUGAGUGUGAGUGUGAGAGCGUGUGAGAGUUUGUGCGUGUGUAUGUUUGUGCGUGAGUGUGACAGUGAGUGUGUGCACGCACGUGCAUGAGUGUGUGAGUGUGAGAGCGUGUGAGAGUUUGUGUAUGUGUGUGAGUGUGAGAGCGUGAGAGUUUGUGUGCGUGUGUAUGUUUGUGUGUGUGACAGUGUGAGUGUGUGCGCGCACGUGCGUGAGUGUGUGAGUGUGAGAACGUGUAAGAGUGUGUGUGCGCGUGUGUAUGUUUGUGUGUGAGCGUGAGAGUGUGUGCGUGUGCGCGCGCACGUGUGUGUGGUGUGUGAGUGUCUCUGUGUGUGAGUGUGAGUGUGCGUGAGUGUGCGUGAGUGUGUAAGUGCAUGAUGUGUGCAUGUGUAAGUGUGUGAGGGAGUGUGAGAGUGUGUGCAUGUGUGUGAGAGUGUAUGCAUGUGAGUGUGUGAGAGUGUGUCUGAGUGUGUGUGUGUGUGUGUGUGCGCGCGCGCAUGUGCUGCUUUGACAAAGGAGGGGCUCCGAUCGAGAAACCAGAUGUCGCUUCCGGACCCAAAGGCUAAGCCGGUGGCAGCCUCAGCCGCUAGCUGGAGCCUGCGGUGUGGGUGUGGGACAGUCACUCCUCCCCGCCGGGGCAGGGGCGCUGGUGCUCAGGGGCCCACGGUUGCAGCCUGGAGUGAAUGGUUUGUCGCCUCCUCCAAAAAUAGCAGAGAGCGGGAGUUGGAGUGUUAGACUGGUGCGGCCCCUACAUCAUCACUUAGCCCAAUCUACAAAACUCAAAGACACCCCCAGGGGUUUGUUUCCGUGGUCAUUCCAGACCCCAUCAAGCCGGCAAUCAAGAUCAACCAUCUCAACAUAGAAUUUCUGGGGUCUCCUGAGACUUGUUUCCCCUGGCGCUGUUCUUUCUGGGGUGCGUACCAAGCUCACGACACCGGGGCCUGCGUUCAGUCCUCCGCACUACUGCAGGAGAAGAGGAGGAGAGGAGAGGAAAUGGAGGAGCAGAGAUAUUGAGUAGGGGGAAGAAUAGAGGAGAGAGAGGAGGAUGAGAGAUACCAUAUCAGAGGGAGCCACUAUAGGUCCGAGAAGAGAUCUGGAACCAGGGAGAUCGCCAGAGACCUACAAGG